GCCGAGCUUUGUCACGCAAGCUUAUAACCCAAGUGGGGGCGUGAGGGUGUUGGAACUUUGGUUCAGCAUUAGCUAGUCGGGUUCGGAAUGGCUGUAUUCUGACCCGCCCGUUCCAAGCAAGGAGUUGGGCUAUGUGGCUUGGGCGAAGGCUCUGGGCUUCAUGGUUCCUAGAGAGGAGGGCAACGCGUGAGGCUGGUUUCACAGAGCAGCGAUCACCUCCCUCUCUUUGCAGUGGAAAGAUAACGGGUCGGUGCCUUCGGGAUCCACCAUGGCUCGCUGGGCUGUUCCAUUUGAACCAACACUUUUUUU
rnacentral:SRP_RNA from 1 species